GCUGGAAUAGCUCAGUUGGUUAUAGCGUGUGGCUGUUAACCAUAAGGUCGGAGGUUCGACCCCUCUUUCUAGCG
rfam:Brassica oleracea var. oleracea cultivar TO1000 chromosome C2, whole genome shotgun sequence